AACGAACGCUGGCGGCAGGCCUAACACAUGCAAGUCGAACGCUCCGCAAGGGGAGUGGCAGACGGGUGAGUAACACGUGGGAACCUACCUCGAGGUGCGGAACAACCAAGGGAAACUUUGGCUAAUACCGCAUGUGCCCUUAGGGGGAAAGAUUUAUCGCCUUGGGAUGGGCCCGCGUCGGAUUAGCUAGUUGGUGUGGUAAUGGCGCACCAAGGCGACGAUCCGUAGCUGGUCUGAGAGGAUGAUCAGCCACACUGGGACUGAGACACGGCCCAGACUCCUACGGGAGGCAGCAGUGGGGAAUAUUGGACAAUGGGCGCAAGCCUGAUCCAGCCAUGCCGCGUGUGUGAUGAAGGCCUUAGGGUUGUAAAGCACUUUUGCCGAUGAAGAUAAUGACUGUAGUCGGAGAAGAAGCCCCGGCUAACUUCGUGCCAGCCGCCGCCGUAAAAC
rnacentral:rRNA from 1 species